CUUCUGUUUAUACAGGGAUCGGAUCCGACGGAAUGAUCCUGAUAUGCCCAUCAGACCAAGCGCCUGUUAAAAUGCG
rnacentral:tRNA from 1 species